rnacentral:rRNA from 1 species
UUUUGGACAAUGGGGGCAACCCUGAUCCAGCCAUGCCGCGUGAGUGAAGAAGGCCUUCGGGUUGUAAAGCUCUUUCGGGCGGAACGAAAUGGGCGGGACUAAUACUCCUGUCUGAUGACGGUACCGUAAGAAGAAGCACCGGCUAACUACGUGCCAGCAGCCGCGGUAAUACGUAGGGUGCGAGCGUUAAUCGGAAUUACUGGGCGUAAAGCGUGCGCAGGCGGUUUCGUAAGCUGGAGGUGAAAUCCCCGGGCUUAACCUGGGAAUGGCCUUCAGGACUGCGAGGCUAGAGUGCGGCAGAGGGAGGUGGAAUUCCACGUGUAGCAGUGAAAUGCGUAGAGAUGUGGAGGAACACCGAUGGCGAAGGCAGCCUCCUGGGCCAGCACUGACGCUCAUGCACGAAA